rnacentral:rRNA from 1 species
AUGGCAAAAUUCUGGUGGAGCAUUUCGAUCGACCAUCGUUCCAUGCAUUGGAUAGAUUGGAAGUCUUUGUCACUUCCAAAGAUAAGAGGAGGAAUGGGAUUCCGUGAUCUCGAAUGUUUCAAUGUGGCUUUGUUGGGAAAUCAUGGUUGGAGACUGAUUACAAGCCCGAAUGCUUUAUGCUCAAGGGUGCUAAAAGGUCGGUACUUCCCAAUGACAGAUUUCAUGCAUGCUACUGUUCCGCGCAACUCUUCGGCUACCUGGAGAGCGAUAGUUGUUGGGAGAGCAGCAUUGGACACUGGACUACUAAAGAGGAUCGGGGAUGGUUCCUCGGUAAGAAUUUGGGAAGAUAGAUGGCAUCCA